AAGGGUCCAGGUUUUUUUCUUGUGAAUUUAAUUAAAGGAAAAUUUCUGGGUGCUUUU
rnacentral:pre_miRNA from 1 species